AAACUUUAUGUGAUAUCAAGUAUCGGCGGCCUUGUAGUAUAAAUAGAACAAUCUUAAUUUUACAACAACGAAAAACAAAUCGCGUACAGUUGAAAUGGAAUAAAUUAAAGUACAUAACUCUUUUAUAUCACAAUUGGUUGUUUAAAAUGGAAGUCGCUGGUAAGAGAAAGAACUUCAAGAGAGGAAAACAUACGUUUUGUGAUCCUUGUAAAGUUGAAAGUAAGGAAACUAAAGCAAAUGGAGCAUGUCAAGAAUGUAAAGAGUACAUGUGUACCACAUGCUUCUGGCAUCACCUGAAGGGUAAACUGUGUAGAAAUCAUGUUUUACUUCCAACAUAAUAGCUGUCUUCAAUGUCACUGGAUAGCAGUUCGGAAGACGUUGAAAAAUGUGGGAAGCACGAUAAUGAACCCAUUAAAUUCUAUUGUCGUACACAUGAUAUUGUGGGGUGUGGCGACUGCAUAGUGUGAGGACAUUCAGCCUGUAGGCCAGAGUAUAUCAAGGACAUAGCAAAGUCAUUUCCUUAUGAAGCUUAUGAAGAACAAUUCAAAAACUUGAUGGCGAAACUGGAAACGUUUAAAUCGUAUAAUACAGCCAAUGAAAUAGCCAUUCAAAAGAAUAGGGAAGAAAUGAAACAAAUGAAUGAAAAAGUGAUAAAAGACAUUCAACAAUUUAGAUCAGAUAUCAAUGAAUAUUUGGAUAAUGUAGAAGCUAACGUCUUAUCUGAUGUGAGAAAAUUAACCUUAGAAAACACACAAAUACAGAGAAAGCUCGAGAAAGACGUUCAAUCGUUGACAUCUGAAAUCGAGGAAGUGAAGCAGAAGUUAAACACGCAGCUGCAUGGAGGAAAUGCAUUGUUUAUCAAUGCAGUUAGUUGUAAGUCUAAACUGAAUGACAUUGAGAAAAUGCAUACGCGAAUAAAGCAAGAGCAUUCUUUGAAAAGAUUCGAAUUUGUUCCUGACAAGACUCUGGAAUAUUACAAGCCGCACAAAAGUUUGGGAGCCUGAAGAUUGAUUCCGGUCUCGAUACAAGAGUAAAACUGUUCGAAUUUGCUGUUGGUGCACGUGUACGUCGGGCCCUGACUGGAAUUGGGAAAAUGAGGACGGUGGAGGACUAGGCACUGUGACAGGAUUUGAUGAUGGCUGGGCGCGUGUGACUUGGGACGCAGGCAUAUCGAAUAAUUACAGAAUUGGACAAGAAGAUGCUUUUGAUCUUGAAAUCGUUUAGAAACAUCAAGUUUACAUUAUUUUUUUAAGUGGAAACUAUACAAGUCGCUCAACACGAUAGUAUGUAAAUAUUGCUGACUCGGGUUUGACAGAGUCUGUUCAUUCCCUUCCCUCACGCCCAAGGUUGAGCAGAACUCACAUUAAUUUUGCACAUGCAGUACAAUUUAGAGUUUUCAUACGGCGGAUCAAGGCCAAUGACUUACUUAUUCAUAUUAAAAAGUGCUUAUCAUUUAUAAACAUAAAGAAGUUUUCACAGUUUCAUCCAAACUUAUUGUUUUAUGAGAAUUAUGACGACAGUCAGUUUCUCGUAAAUCCUUAUGUGAUAGUUCUAUCUCUUUAAAGUGAUGGUUUCACUGAUUUCGGUUUAAUGAUAUUGUUUUAAAACUUUUUAUGAAACACUGGUUAAAGAAAUAAUAUGCAAAAGUACUGUAUUAUGUUUAGAUUUUUUAUCAUGAAUUGAUGGUCUAAAAUUCAGCUCAUCUUGGAACCAGUAAAGGACUCGUCACAGUUAGCCUUUUAGCUAUGUUAUUUGUUAGCUUUUAAUAUUGGUUUUCCGAUACUUUAACAUAAUAUUUCUGAAGCAGCUUAAAUCAGUUUUUGACACAAGACCUAUGGUGUCUUUCUUUAUAAUUAUCUUGAUGAAAACAAAAAAUAUUCCAGUCAGACUAAUGAACAUAAAACAAAUCUCUGGCAAAAUGGGUAACUGACGUAUCGGCAGUAUUUAAACAAUUACAGUCAAUAUCAAAUAAAAAUACAAUAAUUUUAGUCUGUUUUAUCAAUUUCAAACAGGAGAUAUUGAAUUAGUGUGCAUUAUCAAAUUUGAAAUUCAUGACAAUCCAAGACCCUUCAACUCGUUAAAAUGAGUGAAAGAGACCUACAGAUUCACCAUAACAAUAUCGGACUGCACAUGAAAGCUGUGGCCAAAACAUUACAUUUCCGCAAGUGAAAUUUAAAACCUUUUAUGUUACAUGCAAAAUAAACAAUAUAUUUCUAUAUUUUGACAAUUCACUGAAUCAAAAUAACUAUGCAGUUUUUAAACCAUAUUUCAAUUCGAUUUUCUUGCAUUUCGGAUGAAACAAUAAAGUAAACAUUUGUAUUUUGUGACAGUAGUACGGCAAUUAAGUGGUUGCUCCGUGAUUUAAUUACAUACACAUUGGUAG